rnacentral:rRNA from 1 species
UAGGGAAUAUUGGGCAAUGGGCGGAAGCCUGACCCAGCCACGCCGCGUGCAGGAAGACGGCCCUCUGGGUUGUAAACUGCUUUUAACUGGGAAGAAAAGAGGCUUUGCGAAGCAAGUUGACGGUACCAGUUGAAUAAGCCACGGCUAACUACGUGCCAGCAGCCGCGGUAAUACGUAGGUGGCGAGCGUUAUCCGGAUUUAUUGGGUUUAAAGGGAGCGUAGGCGGCUGAUUAAGUCAGCGGUGAAAGGUAGCAGCUUAACUGUUUUACAUGCCGUUGAUACUGGUUAGCUUGAGUUGACAGAAGGCAGAUAGAAUUCCUGAUGUAGCGGUGAAAUGCUUAGAUAUCAGGAGGAAUACCGAUUGCGAAGGCAGUCUGCUGCAGUCACACUGACGCUGAGGCUCGAAGGUGCGGGGAUCAAACAGGAUUAGAUACCCUGGUAGUCCGCACAGUAAACGAUGAUUACUCGACAUGGGAUCUACGGAUUCUGUGUCCAAGCGAAAGCGUUAAGUAAACCACCUGGGGAGUACGUUCGCAAGAAUG